UUGCGGGGAAAACGAAGUCAUGGAGAAUUUGAUCCAGGAGAGAGGCAAGCGUUACCUUGCAUCUGGGAUGAGCAACAGCCCAUGUCGAGUGGAUCAGAGAGGAGGAAACGCAGCACUGUGAGGGACUGGUCAGGAUAUGCAGGGCUUUGUGCCGUGGCAGAGACUGGGGAAGAUGUGUCAGCAGAGGCCUCAGGGUUCUCAGACAUGAGUGACUCAGAGUUUCUAGAGUAUCUGGAUCUGGAAGAUACUCAAGAGUCAAGUGCUUCACUUAGCAAGCCUGGCCCUUCUUCCGAACUCCCUGGGAAGGAUAGCAAGCUCAUAAGCUUACCAACGUGGAAAAGAAGAUUGGAUGUCUCAUCACCAAUGGAGCGAUUCCACCUUAAAUAUUUGUAUGUCACUGACCUGUCUACUCAGGAUUGGUGUGAACAGCAAAUGGUAUAUGAGAAGGAGCUUCCUGGUUUCUUGGCUCCUGAGAAGGCAGCUGUUUUGGACACUGGUGCCAGCAUCCACCUAGCUAGAGAACUGGAAGUCCACGAUCUUGUGACUCUCCCCAUCACUACUAAAGAAGAUGCUUGGGCAGUUAAAUUUCUGAAUAUAUUAUCAAUGAUUCCUGUCUUGCAGUCAGAGGGACGUGUCAGAGAGUUUCCAGUGUUUGGAGAAGUGGCGGGUGUGCUGCUCGUUGGAGUAAUUGAUGAGCUGCACUAUACAGCCAAGGGGGAACUGGAACUGGCUGAACUGAAGACACGCAGGCGCCCUAUGCUCCCUCUGGAAGCCCAGAAAAAAAAAGACUGUUUUCAAGUUAGCCUGUACAAAUAUAUCUUUGAUGCUAUGGUUCAAGGGAAAGUGACCAGCACUAGCCUAAUCUACCACACAAAAUUAUGUCCAGACAAACCACUGGGACCAUCAGUGCUGAAGCAUGCCCGGCAGGGAGGCUUCUCUGUGAAGUCUCUGGGUGACCUCAUGGAGCUAGUCUUUUUGUCUCUAACCCUGUCUGACCUCCCAGUUAUUGAUAUCCUGAAGAUUGACUAUAUCCACCAAGAGACUGCCACUGUGCUGGGUACAGAGAUGGUGGCCUUUGAAGAGAACGAGGUGAAAAGCAAAGUGCAGCACUAUAUGGCCUAUUGGAUGGGCCACCGAGAGCCUCAAGGGGUUGAUGUGGAGGAGGCUUGGAAAUGCCGGACAUGCAGCUAUGCAGAUAUCUGUGAGUGGAGGAAGGGCGGUGGGAUGCCCAGCUCCAUUCCAGAGCACCAGGCCAAAAGAGUGAAAUGAAUAGAAGGGUAUGCCUUCUUCAGGAACUUUGAUCUUUCCUGCUCCUAAUGUACUCAGCAGAAUGAAAGAGGACCAGUCUUUGAGCUUGGCUUUCAUGGAGAAUGUUCUUACUUUGGUUCUUUCCAUAUUUCCUCAAAUUCUAACCAUUCAAAUCAUUCAGGGGUGAGUGGGAGAAAUCUGGGAUUCUAUGAUCUCUGGAACUGUGCUGCGAAUUGCCAAGAAGACACUUGCUACUUGCUCAGUGUGGCUGGAGCAAAAGGCGCAGCUCUCAGGGAAGCCACAGAGAUACCAACCCAGGAAUCUCCCCCAAAGAGGCAGAGGCUUCCGAUGCCUUCCGGAAACGAGCUCCACAGGCCUUAUGGGAAAUGUAGUCCCCUAUGAGCAGCCUGCAUCGCGGAGGGACCUGGGAACCUGAGCGUCAAUUACUUCCGCACACGCGCAGUGGGUCGCCAGCCGGUAUUCGGAAUCUUCCAACCUGCUCCGAAUGAAGUGAGAGCGCGGCAUUCGCCCGGAGUCUCUAGGAGAGCUCUGUAACCUGAUGUCUUAGAAGCAAAGCUGGGAGCUUGGCGGUGAAAGGCUGAUCUCUGUGUAAGAGCUGCAGAAAAUGAUCAACUUCCAGGGGGCCCCGGUACCAAAACAAAAGGCAUCUUCAAGGCAGAGCAAGGACAAGAGCCAUGGCUGGGGGAGGGAGAGAACCCACGCUUGUGCUGUCCAGGAUAAUGGCUGGCCUGCUGCUUGGCCGUCUCCACAUCACUGUGAAGCUGAUUGCCUACUUGUUGAUGAAUCAGAGAAGCACCAGGAAAGCAAAGACAAUUUUUUGCAUCCAGUUUUGUUCACAUUCAAUAAAAUUCUGACUAUGGA